rnacentral:misc_RNA from 1 species
UUAAGUUCAGCGGGUAUCCCUACCUGAUCCGAGGUCAAGUCAUGAAAUUGCUUGCUGGACGCUGAUCCGCCGGGGCUCCAAGAAGCGCAAAUGUGCUGCGCGAGAAGCCGACGAGACCGCUGCCAAUGACUUUGAGGCGAGUCCGCGCACGGAGGCGGGACAGACGCCCAACACCAAGCAGAGCUUGAGGGUGUAAAUGA